rnacentral:tRNA from 1 species
GGAGAGGUGGCCGAGAGGUCUAAGGCAACAGCCUGCUAAGCUGUGGCGGGUUUAAAGCCCGCCUCGCGGGUUCGAAUCCCGCCCUCUCCGCCA